rnacentral:rRNA from 1 species
GAGAGAGGGAGCCCGGAGAAGGGUACUGAGAUAAGGACCCUAGCCCUACGGGGUGCAGCAGGCGCGAAACUUCUGCAAUGCACGAAAGUGUGACAGAGGGACUUCGAGUGCCAUCUAUGAUGGCUUUUGCCAACUUCAGAAAGGUUGGCGAAUAAGGACUGGGUAAGAUGCGUGCCAGCCGCCGCGGUAAUACGUACAGUCCGAGUGGUAUCCCCUUAUAUUGGGCCUAAAGCGUUCGUAGCCGGCUCUGUAAGUCCUUGGUGAAAUCGGCUAUCUUAAGUAGUCGAAUUGCCAGGGAUACUGCAAAGCUCGAGACCGGGAGACGUGAAGGGAAUUUUCGGAGUAGCGGUGAAAUGUUGUGAUCCCGAAAAGACCACCAGUAGCGAAGGCGCUUCACGAGAACGGCUCUGACGGUGAGGGACGAAAGCUGGGGGAGCGACCGGGAUUAGAUACCCCGUUAGUCCCAGCCGUAAACGAUGCGGACUAGGUGUCCUAGCACUCACGUAGUGUGGGGGUGCCGAAGCGAAGGUCAUAAGUCCGCCGCCUGGGAAGUAUACUCGCAAGGGUGAAACUUAAUGGAAUUGGCGGGGGCGCACUACAAGGGGUGGAUGCUGCGGUUUAAUUGGACACAACGCCAGAAAACUCACCAGGGGCGACAGCAGGAUGAUGGACAGUCUGAAGGGCUUUCCUGACACGCUGAGAGGUGUUGUAUGGUCAUCGUCAGCUCGUACUAUGAAGCGUCCUGUCAACUCAGGUAACGGGCGAGACCCACACCCAUAGUUGCUAUUACCCGAUUCCGGGUGAGCACUCUAUGGGGACUGCAGUGGUAACAUUGAGGAAGGGGUGGGCAACGGUAGAUCUGUAUGGCCCGAAUCUCCUGGGCAACACGCGGCAUACAAUGGACAAGACAAUGAGUUUCGAGCCCGAAAGGGUAAGGUAAUCCCCUAAACUUGUCCUCAGUUCGGAUUGAGGGUUGUAACUCACCCUCAUGAAGCUGGAAUCCCCAGUAAUCGCGCGUCACUAUCGCGCGGUGAAUUAGUCCCUGCGCCUUGCACACACCGCCCAUCAAGCCAGCCGAGUGAGGUUUGGAUGAGCCCGUUCUCUUCGAGGACGUGCGAUUCCAAGUUUUGCGAGGCGGGCUAAGUUGUAACAAGGUGUCCGUAGGGGAACCUGCGGACGGAUCACCUCC